rnacentral:rRNA from 1 species
GAUGAACGCUAGCUACAGGCUUAACACAUGCAAGUCGAGGGAAACGAUAGAGAAAGCUUGCUUUUUCUAGGCGUCGACCGGCGCACGGGUGAGUAACGCGUAUCCAACCUGCCCAUCACUUGGGGAUAACCUUGCGAAAGUAAGACUAAUACCCAAUGACGUCUCUAGAAGACAUCUGAAGGAGAUUAAAGAUUUAUCGGUGAUGGAUGGGGAUGCGUCUGAUUAGCUUGUUGGCGGGGUUAACGGCCCACCAAGGCGACGAUCAGUAGGGGUUCUGAGAGGAAGGUCCCCCCACAUUGGAACUGAGACACGGUCCAAACUCCUACGGGAGGCAGCAGUGAGGAAUAUUCGGGUCAAUGGACGAGAGUCUGAACCAGCCAAGUAGCGUGAGGAUGACUGCCCUAU